UACAGAGGUCUCAAGCGUUGUUCGGAUUCAUUGGGCGUAAAGGGUGCGUAGGUGGCGCCGUAAGUCAGGUGUGAAAUUUCGGAGCUUAACUCCGAAACUGCAUUUGAUACUGCGGUGCUUGAGGACUGGAGAGGAGACUGGAAUUUACGGUGUAGCAGUGAAAUGCGUAGAGAUCGUAAGGAAGACCAGUGGCGAAGGCGGGUCUCUGGACAGUUCCUGACACUGAGGUGCGAAAGCGUGGGGAGCAAACAGG
rnacentral:rRNA from 1 species